rnacentral:lncRNA from 1 species
CUGAGUGUUUCUAAGCCUAAGACAUCUUUGUGAGCUCUGGAAACAAGGGCUUCUUUAAGAAGGCCCCAAAAGCCCAAGGAAAACAUUAAGAAAUUCAACUACAUUAAAUUUUAAACUUCUUUAUAUUGAAAUUAAAAGUGAAAACAAAAUCCACAAAAGGAUAACGAACAGAGAUUAAGUAUCCAGAAUAGGUGCAGAAUUAGUUGUCAACAAGAAGGUGGCAAACAACUCAGAAAAGAGCAAAAACCAUGAAUGGGGUUUCGCAGAAAUGGAAAAAUAAAUAGAAAUGCUCAUCCUUCUUAGUGAUCAGCAAGUAAAGCCAGAGGGACGUCCUUUCAUGCCCAUCAGAAUGAUGAUGGUUUGGGGGAGAGGGUGGAGACCAGUGGUCUUACCCAGUACCCUUCUUGUGACCUCCUUGGUGACAUUCAGUCGGGUUGGGAGCUUCUUGCAUGUUCAGACAAGAAAACGUGCUCAGAUACCUGAAAUAGCAAACAACUGGAGACAGCCCACAGGUGCAUCAUUAGAGGAAUGGACAGGAACGCAGCAUUUACAGAACAAAUAAACACAAGUGACGUGGCCACCCCAGGAUCUAACAGCUCUUCAGUGAGCUAUGUUGCAAGCUCAGAAGUAAUCCACUAACGAACCAAGUCAGACUCCAGUUCUUCAUCAAAAGGUGCUGGUGGAGGUUGUCAGACGCCUUCCAAU